UAAGCUGUUCAAUUCCAGUUCUCCUGUGGGUUCUUCUAUGCGAAAGACUUGUCUUAUGUGCUUUUAGGUCGAAUUUUGAAGAUUUAUUAUGUUAUGCUGUUUGAGACUAAGUAUCUGUGCAAUGAGUACUGCAAAACCUCCUUGGGAUGGUCUUGUUAGAAUGAAAAUGGUUCUACAUUAUGUUUAUUGAUCUUUUGGUGCAUGUUUUCCUUUUUCUGGUCAGUUACUGAUUAUGUUGUCACCAGUUUUCUAUGCUCUGUGCUUGGAUGACUGCCUGUAGCUUUUUUGAAAUUGUGUCUCGUUGAUUAAUUAUGGUGUUGCAGCUGAUUUGGUGGGGUGCACGUAGCUGCUCGUAUUAUGUGUGCCGAUGGGUUUGUGUAUUUCUGCUAAACAUAUAUACUCCCUCCUUUCAUCUAUAUAGGGGCCUAAUGCGUUUUUCAAGAUCGCGUUUUACUAUUGACAAGAUUAAUACUACAUGACAUGAAAAACAUAUUAGGCCCUGACAUGAAAAACAUAUUAGGCCCUGUACAGAUGAAAGGAGGGAGUAAUCUGUUUCUAAUGGAAAGGUACUUCUUGCAUGAUAAUUUGGCAGCUUGUUGUGCAACAAGCGCAUACUUGAAUAUAACAGCAGGAGUUUGACAGUACAGUACAUCUACCAAUACUAGUUUUUCCAAAGAAAAAUUUAGGCAGUUCUGUAGAAAUUUGGCUAAUUAGUUCCAUGGACCCCUUGUGAAUAUAAAAAUGGUUUUCAUUGUUUCGCGAACUGAAAACUCAAAAUUUCAGAUUCAAAUUUCAGAUUCUGAUUUUACUAACUAAAAAUCCAUGAAAUUGAUACUAAACUUACGCCAUGACUGACUCUUAUUGGCCAUAUAUAUAUACUUGUAUCCAUGGAUGAGUUUAGAGGGGGCAUGGAUGAGUUUUGAUGAGAAUUUGAUAAUCCAUGGAUAACCCUAAUUCCAAACACUAGGUAAAAAUAAAGAAAAAAUGAUGAGAAUUUGAUGGACAAGAACUAUGGAGACAUAGAGGGGGCAUGGAUGAGUUUUGGAGAUGGUCUCUUCAUGGAUUUAUAAAUAAUACAAGAAAUAGUCCACCACCAUAAGUUCCUCAAAAUCUGAUUGAUACAAAUUAAAACCAACUGUCCACAUGAUAGCAUAGCACGCCCAAAGAUGGGUAAUUAUUAGUGUGGAAUACUUUCUAACUUUUUUCAUCUGGCAACAAAAGCAUACUUGAAAGUUGACUAAAAUAGAUAUUGCAUCUAACACUCGGUGCACAGAAAGUGAAAAUAUGAUAUAAACUUGCGUACCUGAUCGUUGUGGGAUUCAACAUAUAUGAUGUGAACAUUUCGUAUGGAAACUUGGAUAUUGUCCAGUAUCUGCCAAACGGAGCAAAAUUAUCAGUGUUUUGGCAUAUCAAUGUUACUAUUGUUCAAAGAAUAAAAUUGUAAGCUUGUUACCUUUGCUGACAUGUAGGAUAGAAGUGAUUGCCCCGUUUGGUUAUCUAGAAGUCAAAAGAAUUAGGGUUUUCAGGAAUACCUUUCAGUGUGUUAACUCGGUAUAAAUAAACAUGCAAUUUGCAAAUGUUAUAUUAACAGUAUGAUAAACAUAAGCAAGUAAGUGUUACGAAUUGGUAACAGCUAGUUCAUCACUGGCAGCCUUCAGAUACUUGCAUACAAUUUGAUAGAUAAAAAUGUCUCCGGAAUGUGUGUUUGUAUCUUGAUGACACUGGUCUACACAUUUAGUAGUUAGCAUAUGUACCUAUAGAUCGCGGAUUUUUAUACUCCCUCUGUUCCUAAAUAUAAGUCUUUUUAGAGAUUUCAAUAUGGACUACAUACGGAUGUAUAUAGACGUAGUUUAGAGUGUAGAUUCACUCAUUUUGCUCCAUAUGUAGUCCAUAUUGGAAUCUCUAAAAAGACUUAUAUUUAGGAACAGAGGGAGUAUAAUGCAUGCUAAUGCACAUGCAAGAAGAUAAAGAAAAACAGCAAGGACACGAAACCUGAAGUUACCACUAGCAGUCUAGCACAAACAGCUGAAGUUAGCAUGUUGAUAUUGAAGUGAAUUGCAGUGACAAACUGAUAUCUGAAAUUUGCAAAAAAAUGAUGAAGAUCACAGGAAUCGAGACUGACCUGUCACUCUUCUGGAAAAUUUAGCGAGCUCUAUAGCAUUAAGUUUAGCCAAUUUUCCAGCUAGUUCUCUCUUACCAAGUGAAUCGGAUCCCCACUGAUAAAGAAACAGCGUAUUUAUUGGGUCAACACAGUGGAAACACCAUUGGCAAGCUAAUUGAACAAUGUAAAACCAGAUUCAGCGACGUGCCUCAGAAUCCUCCCGUGGAUAUGCACAUACAAACACAUCUUCUAUAACAAUAAUUAUAGGGUCCCAUCCAAGUUUUUUCCAUGGAAUCUUUAUGCUUAACUUCCCGAUUCGACCUGUGAUAACAGCAGAAUGGAAACUUACGACUUAGGAUAACACAUAGUUUUACCUAUACGUGCCAAAAUAGCAAAAAUAGUGUUGGUAGCAUCCAGCCAAGCAGUCUGAGUGGGAUCAUAGAUCAUACCAGUCUUGAGUGCAAAAGGCAACUGCAGGUAGUCGAAGGCUUCCAGAAUGAGCUCUACAUUUUCCAAAUUUAUUUCCUCUGCACAAAAUGAAGUCAUCAAAAGUUUAGCCACCAUCAGGAUCAGAGAGACAGCACAAUCCAGAGCUAAGGUGCAAAAUGUCAACAAUUCUAAGAAGAAUUACUUGGCAAUAUGUAUAUCAGUAUCCAUCACCGAUGCAACGCAUAAACAGGCGUAACAACGGAAUCAAUACAACCCGUGCACAUAAAAAUCCCAGUACGAUCAAACCCAAUGCCAGUCACGCCUUAAUCAAAACACAAACAUCUGCAGCACUAAACGCAGCCAUGGAAUUAACCAGCGAAUUUACUGCUGCGGCAGCCGAGGGGUGACGAAUUGGAGAACAGUGGGGACCAGGACAGCAGCUGGCUCGCGGGUGAUUGGGCCAACCCAAGUAGCGGAACGCGGGGGUGUGGUCUCUACUCGCUAGUGUUCUUGGGAGGGAAUCGAGUACGAACCGUUCCAGAUGCCGAUCUUAAGCUGCUCCUUCUGGAUGCCCUUGACGUAGCGGCCGAGCAGGCCGGCGAGCACCUGGCUCACCACCCCCUCGAACAUGGCGGCGGCGGCGGAGGAGGAGGAGUCUCCCUAGCGAGCCCGCGCUCCCAUGGGGCGGGGGAGGAAAGGGCAAGGAGGCGAGGGGUGGAGUCGAGGAGGGGGCGAGGCCGUCGAGGGAAGGGAGUGUGGGGAGAGGAGAGGAGAGGCGAGUUGGGUUUGGGACUUCCGUUUGCUUGGAGGAGGAGGCGGAGGAGGACGACGGCGAUUCGUGUCGUUGAUGCUCGGGCAUUCCGGCUCGGUGCGUGCGACCGUGCGAUGUACGCGUGUACGGUGCUCGACCUGUAUUGUCCGUCUAUUUGGCAAACCUAUUUUCUUGGACCCCAAUCCUGGCGCCCGUUCGCCAUGGAGUAUCGGAAACUUUUUUAGACGGGACAUGCCUGGUUUUGACGGGAGCAAUUAGUUUUUUUUUUACGUCUGACGGGGAGCAACUAGUUAACAAGCGCUCGUAACAAGCGGUUCAGGAACGUUCCGCGUGUGACAAGUAUCGCGUGUGGAGCGUUCCCGCAAGGAAAAACUAGCUGGCAUGGUGGGUUCCCGAUUUUCCCUUUCUGAUGGUUUCGUGUGUUUUGCAGUUUGACCCUUGAACUAUUAAAAAAUUUUGUUUUCCCUUUUCGUGCGAUAACACAAAGAAAAUACCAGUUCACGCGGUUGGUUCUCUGUUUCCCUUUUUCGUUUUCCUUUUUGUUCCCAUUAUAUUUCCGGGUAAUGGAGAUUUAUGGGGUAGUUAUGGGCGGGGACUACGAACACUAUCAAAUGUGACCUUUCAAGUAAGGAAAAAACAACAACUUUUUAAUGCAAAACGACAGUCUUCAGGAUCGUUCAAUCGUGUGAAUUCUGUAUAGGCACAGGUGUACACAAGUAGAGCCACGGAUGUAUAACUUUAUUAAAUUGAAGAACAUCGCCUUCGGCGUGAGGGAACCUCCUGCUCGUCUUCGGCUCGUUUAAUUUUUAUAAACAUCUUAAAGGGGGGCAUAGGUCAAAGUGUGUGUAGGUCGUGCAGCGUGCUGCUUCGUGCGGCGCGUUGUCCGUAGUGGUGUGACACGGCGCCUCCGGCUGAAGGAACCUCCUACUCGUCUUCGACUCGUUUAAUUUUCAUAAACAUCUUGAAGAGGGGACAUAGGUCGAAGUGUGUGUAGGGCGUGCAGCGUGCUGGUUCGUGCUGCGCGUUGUCCGUCCUGGUGUGACACGGCGCCUCCGGCGCAAGGGAACCUCUUACUCGCCUUCGGCUCGUAUGUGCGUGGAUGCACAUGUGUGCAUCCUACGAAGGCAUUGGUAUGUUGCCUCUGGAGGCACGGGUGAAGCAUGUGCAGUCACGUGUGCGUAGGAGCUAGCCAUGGUUGAGGCUCUAGAGGUAUGUGCGUGCAUGCACAUGUGUAUAUUGUCCGGAGGCAUGGGGCCUUGUCGCUUCCGGAGGCACGGGUGUGAAUCAUCUAUAGUCACGUGUGCGUAGCGCUAGCCACGGUUGAGGCGCUCUUGGUAUGUGUGUGUGGAUAUUGUCUCUGGAGGCACGAGAAGUUGUCUCCAGAGUCAUGCGUAAGGGUUCGUUUAAGGAGUCACUGAUGUCGAACAAAUAAAAAGUGGCACUGUUGUUUAUAGUGUAAUGGCACUCUCUCAUGAUGUUCUCCUUUCAACAUGAACACGCAAUUUCUAAUUACAUUACAUACAAAUAUGAGUUAUUGAUAAACUGUUUUGUCACGUCUUGAUAGAAUUAGCCUCUUUGGCUAAAUCAAAAGUUUUAGUCUUCAUUGUUGCUGAAGAUCUUGUUAAUCUCAUCACUCAUUUCAUUAGUUUUGACUUGAUUCAUCUCGCUAUGUAAAAGAAUGUACAUUGCCUCUGCUCUUCAGUUUUCGACCUCAUUCUAUGAAAUUUUGCCGAAAAGAGAAGUAUAUUAUUAGAGUUGGUGCAUAAAAGUUGUAUAUAAAUAAAUAUAUAUAGACUUACUGUCAAAUCUUCCAGGUCUUCGAUGAAUUUUUCACCAUCAUAGAGGAAUGCAAGAUUUAAAACAACAAAUGAUGAUUUGCCCUUUUCUACCACUGGAACAUCUUGCACGGUAUGAAUCUGCCAUCUUGUACCCUUGGCAUUCAUUGUUUGUCCUAACAUGAUGUUGAAGACUUCUUUAAACCUAGAUACCUGGGAAUUGCAUUUUGUAAUUGUUUUAAUAUUACAAUUUGUAAAAUUGAAAAAAUUGUUAUGUAUAAAUGCUUACAAUUGCCGACUUAUAACAUGAUAUUUCUGAAACUGUGUUUCUCUUUCUUUUUGAGCGUCUUCAUGUUCCUGAAGAACUCAAUAUGCUUCAUGUGGAUCCAAUUUAUCCAUGUCUAUCUUUUCUUUCUCAAAUUCCUUUGAAGUCGCUUCUCGAGGAUUAAUAAUGUGAACUUUGUGUUUAUAUUUGUCCAGCAUAUAUAGUAUGUAGCGGUCACCCUUCUCCAUUGGAAUGAAUAUCUGCGUCCAAAAUAAUUGUUAAUUAGAUGACAGUUUAAUAUAAAGUAAUUUAAUAGAAUGCAUAUUUUUUGAUUUUGUCAUGGAGGAAAGGGAUGUUACCAUGUUUGCUGUUGAGAGCUUUUUCUGUUGAUUUUCUUUGAGAUACAUGGGAACCAGUUGAUUAUUUGUUUUUUGCAAUUCAUUUUUAAAUUUUGCAAUACUAGUUUUGUGUUUCUUUAAAUUUAAUAUAUGCUGCAAAUAAUAAUUACGAUGAAAAAACUGUUAGAAAAAAGAGCAGUGUAACAAUAUAGAAAGAGUAGGUGUUGCAAUAUAGACAAGAUUUUGCUUUUUUAAAUUUACCUCUGCAAAGUUUGGGCCUAAUAUUAUUCUGGCAGUCUCUUUUGAAUCUUGUCUGCUUUCCCAGAUUUCUGCUAUGUCAUCGAGCACACUCUUUUCCAUAUGAUGUGGUAUGUUUGUCUGUGCUGGUCUUAGACCAAAUACUGCCUUCAGUUGGGCUCCAGUAAGUUGCGUGUUUUUCUCUCCCUACGGAUGCGCCUAAAUAUAGUUUUACUGUGACAGGGAGAUAAAUAAUUUUAGAGGUCAGGGUAAGUGAGAAACAUUUUUUUACCUUAUUUUUGGCCUCGGUUCAACUAUUUUGAUGUGCAAUAGAAAACAACUCACUUUUUGAAUUCCUCCUGCUAGCUGUCGCUCAUGACUAGUUGGAAGAGGUCGGAUGCCUCCUUUGUGUGUUGGAAGUAAUGAGAAUGUCUUCGAUAUGGAUUGGUGCUUCGUCCUUUUUUCCUUUUUGUUUCAUCUGUUUCUGUCAGUGGAAGCAGAUAUGUAAUAUGUAAGCUCUUGUGAUACCAAAGACAUUGAUCAACCAUGGGAUUGGUAGGUCAUUACAAAAAAAGAUAACGAGAAACAAUUUUCUUACCUUUGUUGGUGGAAAAGAAGUUUGAAGUUUCUGGUUUGAAUUCUUUGAUUCUUCCAGGUAGUUGCUCGCACUUUACUUGGUUUGUUUCACCAAAUAUGGUUGUAAAAAGGAACUCUGGUUUCCACUCGACAUCUACCUUGCUAUGUUGUAUGAAGGUCAUCAGGUAUUCUUUUAUUUUUCUUUGAUGAGAUAAUUGAAUUAUUCAAGUAGUGCUGCUUCUAAAAAUAAAAUUGUUGCUCUCGUACUAUUCACUUACAUGGAAAUCCUCAUCAUCUUUUAUGAGAUCAAUGUCAUUCCAGUAUUUUACAAAUUUAACCAUGAAGUGUCCGCAUUAGAUACCCUGCUGUUUUGGCAUGCAAACUUUGUUAGGUGUUUCUGCUAUCCUCGACCAGUUUGGUUCACUGUUGGCUCGUAGUUCCGCUUCGUCGUAAUGCUUCUUCAUGAGUGCAUGCAUCAUUUUAAUAUGUGAUUGCGGUUUGGUUUUAUUGUUGGAUUUUGCCAUUAAAAAGGGUAUACACGAAUUGGAAAACUAAUUAGAAAACCAAGGUUGAAUUGACGUACCAGUUCUGGGUGAUCCUUAUGGUGUUUUUUCCAUGUAUUUUUCCCCCUUCGUGUCUGUAAUUCAGUGAGUCAAAUAUGUCGAUGGAGCUCGUGUUCUUGUUGAGCACGUACAAUGUGAAGUGUUUAGCUGUGUUGUGAGGUAUCAUAAUCUGCGGUAUUUGGAGACAGAGUGAGUUAAAGUUCAUUCUUGUCGGAAGAAUUAAAUGACAUGUAAAUGUGCAAUAUAUAGGAAUAAUGAAUUAUGUUUGUAUAUUUCUAUUAACUUACCAGCUUUAUUAAAAUUCCUUCCCUGUUACACGGGGUACAAACUGUUUCAAUGCUCCGUCCUCAUUGAAUUCUGCUAGUCCUCCUCCUUCUCCAGUAUUAACACCGAGCACAAUCUGCGACAAAAAAGUUUUCUACUUUUUAGUUCAAUCUUUGUAAUCACUAAAAUGAUGCAAGUGUUUUUGUCAAAUUGGACUUCAUACGUUUGCAAAUUCUACGGGAAGUAUGGCUUUAUCAGUUGUGUUGUAUUGUUGCUGCCAUGUCCAUUCUUCGAACAAUGCAUUUGCGAUGGAGCCCUCCAUCUGUCCUCCAUAUCCUUUCUGCAGCUGUUCCAUUAUUUGUUUUCCUGUAAUCCAAUCGAGUCGCUUAGAGCUAAUGUAUACAUUUAGACUGCAAGCAGAAAAAGUUUAUACAUUAGUUAGGUGGGUUUAAAAAGGAGCAACAUUUCUUUGUUUUUUGUUGUGAUAAGAGAAAGUACUUACUUUGCGCAUUCUUCCCGUCCUUCUUUGCUGAAUAGGUAUUCUUGAAGUGCUCUGACUUUGUUCAUAAAUUUGAAAUCUCCUGGGACAAAAGUAGGAAUCAUGAUUUUUCCAUGGAGUCUGCUUGAAGGCUUUACCGGCCUCUUCUUAAUCGAGAUUUUCUUGUCUGAGCUGUUCUCAGAUGAUUGAGGCAUUGAAUGUUCUCCUAAUUCUUGCUGCAAGAUUGUCAGAUACGGCGUGGCAUCUUUGUUGAAUUCAUAGCUUUCAUGGUCAUUCAGCCAUGUUUUGAUUACAUCGAAUUUAUAGCCCAUCUUUACAAACUCAUGGUAUUCCUUUAGUUGGAGUGAGUUAAGGCUUAAAAGAAAUUCAUCAACUUCUUCAUGCUUUUUCGUUGUUUUGGGUUUUAGGAAGUCUAGAGAGAUGGUGCUGGAGGUGCCUUGCUGAUUGCUUGUUGAGCCUGUUUCUUCUUGAAGAAGAACAAGUUGUUUAUUCUGGUCGGAAAUUUGUUCUUGUGUAUUUGGUAUGUCGUUGCUUCUGUCAUCCUUUUUUAAAGCAGCGUCUGUUUGUUCAAGUUGCUCUAUGCUCGGGAUAUUGCUGUUGAUAUUUUGCUCGUUUGUGGUGUCUGUUUCCUCUUCAGGAUGAUGUGGUAUCUUGUUGUCUAGUGGUGGUUGAUCUGGUUCUAUUGGUGGAUCCUUUUCUUCGUGGUCUGUGCAAGAUUCUUGGGCGACGACAUGCUGCUGACAUGCAUAAGCUCUUUCCAUUUACUGGAUAUAUGAAUAACUUCAUGCUCUUGUGUGGUUGUCGCAUGCAUAAUAUGUUCCUUUGGCUCGGGAUUUGGCAGAAGCUCUUCUAGUAUGCAACAUUCUGCCUGUUGUAUUACUUUGUCUCCCAUAUCGACUUCAUACUUCAGCAUAUCUGUUAGAAUCAAAAAAUAAUAAUUAAAAAAACUUAUUACUUGUUGUAGUGUGACAAAAUUGUAAGGUUUUGUUUCUGAAAAGACUAACCUGUUGUACACUUGAUUAAUGACAGUUUGGUAUUCCCUUUGUGUUGACUGAUUAGUUGAUAUAGAAUUUUUUUCCUCAACUUUGGUACUUGUUCUGGCUCUAAGAUUGCUGCUGUUCCAUCAUUGGAGUAGUGCUUCAGGUUCAUGUACAUAUAGAAUGCGCAGUUCAUUCUGCAUGUAGAGGAAUGGUACUAGUAAAAUUGUUGCAUUCAAGAAACAUAAAGAAGAGAAAUGUUUGAGCAAUGGUAGUGGUAAUUGUUGCAUUCAAGAAACGAAAAGAAGAGAAAUGUUUGAGCAAUGGUAGUGGUAAUUGUUGCAUUGAAAAGACGAAAUAACGGAAUUACUUCAGUAAUGGUAGUAGUGAAUCUUGCAUUGAAAAAAAGAAAGAAGAGUAAUGUUGGAAGUGCUUACGUGUCUACUCUUGAAGUGGCACUUGCAGUUUGACCUUUUUGAAAUGGUCGAUGCUUUUUUUGAAAGUUGUAGCUCUGUGCUUACGUGCUUUCAGAUUUUCAUUAAUUUGCUGGUUACAUUGUUGAAGAAUUCUAUUGUGCCUGGGUAUGGAGUUGAAGAGUCAAGGAGUUCAAAGCGCUGUUUUUGCAUGUUAACUGCAAUGGUGAAGUAAUGACUUAUAGUUUUGUCUUUCUCAAACCCGCGUAACGAACAUGGUAGAAGGAACUGCAAAACACAAAAUAAAAAGAAAACAUUUAGAAAUCUUCUUAUAUUUAGAAAUAUAAAAUAAAAAGAGAACUUUGCAUAACAUAUAUGCAAUUGUAUUUCGUUUUUGAAACAGUUAAUCUGCUUACCAUGUUAUAAUCUUGCAGUUUUUCUUCUUCUUGCAGGUUGAAAAAUGCUCUAAGCCUGGCAGGUAGUAAUUUUUUUUCUAAUGUGUUCUUGAUCAUUAUUUUUGUAGCACAUUGGGUCUUCGUUGUCGGCUUCCUUUAUCGAGUGCUGCUUGUUUUGUCACAGAUACACAAAGGGGUUUUGUUAGUUCAGUUAUUUAUUUAUAAAGUCAUAUUUGUCGUUUUAUAUGUGAUUCUUUUUGCCGUGAUCUUUACAAUGUUGCUUAACGCCAAAAUAUUUCUCCCUGUGCCAUUGAGUUGUUUUCUUAAGAUCGUUAGCAUGGGCUCGAUUGCUUCGGUGCUUACUGGUUUACCGACCUUGAAGCUUUCAGCGACAUGGCCUAGAUUGACAUCAAACUUGUCCGUUGUAAUGAAAAGCUCAUCCAUGCAAAGUAUAUUUAAAAAAUGUUUUAGUUUACACAUGAUACAGUUAAAAUGAUCGUGUGUAAGAAUGUGUUUUGUGUUAAUUGCAUGAACUUACCUUUCUUUCUUUGUCCAUGGCUUGCAUACAGCGUUGUACAGGUCUUCGAUGGCUUUGUUGACGGAAUCACUAUCUUUGCCCCCUUUAUCCAUUGUGUCUGCGAUGGUUUUGAAUUUAAUUUAAAUAAUUCCAAAUCACAAGAUAGCAAUUAAGUUUCUAUUGUCUUGCCUUCUUCGGUGCUAGAAGAUAGUCCUGUCCAGUGUUGUUCCUUUCUUAUUCUCCUUCUGCUUCUUGCGACAUGUUAUGUUCUUCUUUUUGCAUUGUAUUCUUUUGUCCAGUUUCUGCUCCAUCCUCAUUUGGGUCGUCUGUGCUUUUCUUAGCAUCAUGUUUUUCCUUGUCAAUCGUCAUGUCUUGCUGGUGGUCUUUUCCGUCUUGUUUUUCAGUCUCGACCUGGUUGGCACUGACCUCUCUCCCAGGAGAAUCGGCAUCGUACAACGGUGUAGGGUUUUCUUUGAUAGUUACUGGUUCUUUCUCUGGAACAAUCUGUGUGUUUGCUUCAUUGGUUGUAUCUCCGUGGUUGCCUUCUUCGUGUUUCUGCGUUAUCAUUGAACGAGCAUUGAAAUAAUUUAACUUGCUACUUUAUUUUAAUUAAUGAAGUUGUAUGGGAAAAUAACGAAGCGUUCGGUGUGUACUUUGAGCUAUUUUGAUUGUGAUUAAGUUGUAAUUUUGUGGAAAAAAUUUGUGCAACUUCACCUGUUGAGUUGUCAUUGGUGCUGCUGACUGUUCCACCCGUUCUUCAUUGAGUGUUGUUUCUUGGGGAUCCUCUUGUUCUUUCUUUUGAUGUUCAUCGUCACUAUCAUGGUUUUUGUCUUGCAGCUGUUCAAUCAUAAAGGUGGCUAAGUUGGAGUGCAUUUGAGUUUUCAUGGAACUACUUUAUAUUUUCGUAGAAUCAACCUACGUAACUUUACCUCCUCAAUCCUUACUGCUUCUGUUGUCUCUGCUACUGUUCUCGUUGCUGCUGCUGACUGUUCUGCCUAUUCUUCAUUGAGUGGAGGUUUUUGGGCAUCUUCUUGUUCUUUCUUUUGGAAUUCAUCGCCGCUGCCGACAUUUUUGUCUUGUAGAUUUUGAAACACACAUGUGGCUAAGUGGCAGUGCAUUUGAGGUUCCAGAGAGCUAUUUUAUACUUUCAUAGGAUCAGCUUAUGCAACUUUACCUUUUUAGUCAUUGUCAUUGCUGCCGUCUCUGCUGCGUGUUUUUCGGUGAGUGAAUAUUUUGGGGCUUGGUCUUUUGUGACAUUGAUGUCUGCCGUUUGAAGAACAUGCUGCCCUUCUUCAGUGCCCUCCUUUUGCUCACUGGUCUCCUUUGUCUGCAAUGCAGGAAAGUAGUGAAAUGUCAAAUGCGUAUUUUUGAACUAUAAGAUCGUGAAGAGGUAUUAUGUGUUUUCACCUCUGUAUUUGUUGUUGUUAUUGUUGAUUGUUCUACGUGUUCUUCGUUGAGUGGUGGUUUUGGGUCCUUCUCUUGCUCUUUAUUUUGCUGUUCAUCGUCACUGACCUUGUUUUUUUCUUGCAGCUAUUCAAACAUAGAGGUGGCAAAGUGAGAGUGCAUUUGAGUGAAUACAUAUGUGGUAGGUUGGAGUUUAUUUGAGUGUGCACGCAGCAAUUUUAUAAUUUCAUAGUUGCGGGUUUCGUAACUUUACCUUCUCAAUCGUUGACGCUGCCGCCGUCUUUAUUACCUGUUGUUUGGUGAGUGAAUUUUUUGUGGCUUGGUCUUCAGUGGCAUUGUUGUCUAUCGUUUGAAGAACAUGUUUGGGUUGUUCAUUGGGCUCCUCCGGUUGUGUUUGAUGGUCUUGAUUGUUGGUGCUCUCUUGAGCUUCUUGGGCCUGCUCUAACACAAAAAAUAUUUAAGAAAUGGGUGCAUCUCUGACUAUUCAGUUGCAAUUUUUUUAUAAGACCUCUUUCUCUGGAGUGGCAGGACUGUCUAUUGCUGGAACUACGGCUUCUCCUUGUCUCGUGUUGUCCUCUUGUUUUUCUUGUUCAAUGUCUAUGCCAGUGCUUUCGCUUGCUUCCUCUUCAUGUUUAAUAAAAAUUGAAAUUAUAGAUUGAACUUCAUUUGUGUCUGAGUUCCUCACCUCUUCAGAUGUUGUUGUUUGAAGUUCUGUGUGUUUUUGAGUUUCCUUUGGUUGUGCUACUUCUUGAUCUUCGAGAUCAACGUACUCAUUUUUUUCCUGCAUUUGUUCAAAGAAAAGGGUGAGACAUCCCUUAUAAUUGUUGUAUUGCGGUGGCGGGGUGUAUUAGGUAGUUCAGACAUCAUAAAUGUUUUGAAAAGGGGUUGUUGUUGUUGUUGUUGAAUUUUUACCUCUGUGUUGAUGACUGGGUUAUUCAUGCCUGCAUCGACUGUUUCUUUGUCAGGUAUAACAGUCUCUAGUUUCUCAUCGGCUGGGAUGUCUUGGGCUUUCUCCUUUGUACUCGUGAUGGUGAUCUACAAUGUUGUGGCACUGGAAAUCUCUUGUACACAAACUUUCUGUUCUGUGACGCCUUCGUCUAUUUGAGGUUCACUAUGGGGUUCAAUUUCAACACAGGUUGUCUCUUGGUCUUGCAGUGCUUGUGAUACCUGGAGAUCAAACAAUAUGAGUUUGCGAUUCACUUUCUUUCCUGCCAUUAUGAGUUUUUGGUGUGGGCUGUAGUGGGAUGUGGAAGUUUAGCUCCUCUUCGUUGUUUUCUUCUUCUUUGUCGUUUGUUAUGCUAACGGUUGAUUGUGGGUCAGCCUCUUGCAUUUGGUUGGCGGGACUGCUGACUUGAUUGUUCUCUAGCUGAGCCUAUAUUUUGUUGGAGGUUUGUCAGUUAAUUUAUAACUCUAUCCAGUUUUGAAAGGAAAAAUGGAUGUUCAUACUGACCUCUUCACUGGUUCUGUCGUCGAUCGUAUCUUGUGCUUGUGUUGGGGUAGUUGUUGUUGUAGCAUUGUCUGUUGUGAGGUUUGUUUGUUUGUUGCGUUCAUUCUUGUUUUUGGGGUUGUUGACAUCAUCCUGCUGUUGGAGUUCAUCUUGGCCUGGCGUCCUAUUGGUACGUUCCUGAAAGCAUUGAGAGAGUUCUUUUCAGUUGAGGUAUGAAAACAUCGGUUUGCUUUAGGGGGCGGAGGGCACGAUGCAUUACUAUUUAUUUACCUAUUUUUGCCGCUUUAUCUUUUUCUUGUCAAUGCCCAUGUCCCUUGAUUUUGUUCUUCUCUUCCUCUCUUCGUCUUCUUCUUCUUUCUUUCCUUUUCUCCUUUCUCCUGAUUUUGUUGUGGCUACGAUUUCAUUUGUGCGGUUGUCAUCAACUAGUCUACUUGUGGCUGCUGGAUCUGCUUGCUCUAGUGUCUGCAGGGUCGCCUUGUCUGUCAGGUACCUUGUGCAAACUAUGUCCUGAAAUUCUCUGAGUUGUCCGAGAGCUUCGAUCAGGGAUAUUGUUUGUUGCACGACUGAGUUCUUGUUUUUUUCAUCCAAUCUCUUCUCUUUUUCGCUGCAUUGGUGUUCAACCCUCGUGGUUACUCCGGAUAACCGUUCUGCUUCAUGGAGCACUUUUUCCAACAAUUACUUUAUCCUUUGUAAUCUUUCUUCUAGUCCUGUGCUGAUGCUUGUGUUUGGUUCCUUGCUUCCACUGGUGCUGACACGUGGUCCGCGCCAGCACUUGGGUGGAGGUGGUAGUAGUUUGGUCGUGUGCUGGUGUUGUUGUUGUUAGCGAUGUUCUCCUGGUAUCUGCUAAUCUGAAGUAAGUUGAUGCUAUGCUAGCAUAGACGAUCCUCUCUGUUGUUUCUUUCCAUGUCUGCAUCGUUUUGGUAGAAAUGGAGUUCAUUAUAAUGGAAACAGUUUAAAAAAA
rnacentral:lncRNA from 1 species